rnacentral:rRNA from 1 species
GACGAACGUUGCUAACGUUGUUCGGAAUUACUGGGCUUAAAGGGUGCGUAGGCGGUGCAGCAAGUUGGGUGUGAAAGCCCUCGGCUCAACCGAGGAAUUGCGCCCAAAACUGCUGCACUAGAGGAAGACAGAGGUACGCGGAACUUAGGGUGGAGCGGUGAAAUGCGUUGAUAUCCUAAGGAACACCGGUGGCGAAAGCGGCGUACUGGGUCGUAACUGACGCUGAGGCACGAAAGCGAGGGGAGCGAACGGG